rnacentral:tRNA from 1 species
CGGGAUGUAGCGCAGCCUGGUAGCGCGCCUGCUUGGGGUGCAGGAGGUCCCGGGUUCGAGUCCCGGCAUCCCGACCA